GAUGAACGCUGGCGGCGUGCCUAAUACAUGCAAGUCGAGCGAACAGAUGAGGAGCUUGCUCCUCUGACGUUAGCGGCGGACGGGUGAGUAACACGUGGAUAACCUACCUAUAAGACUGGGAUAACUUCGGGAAACCGGAGCUAAUACCGGAUAAUAUAUUGAACCGCAUGGUUCAAUAGUGAAAGACGGUUUUGCUGUCACUUAUAGAUGGAUCUGCGCCGCAUUAGCUAGUUGGUAAGGUAACGGCUUACCAAGGCAACGAUGCGUAGCCGACCUGAGAGGGUGAUCGGCCACACUGGAACGGAGACACGGGCCAGACUCCUACGGGAGGCAGCAGUAGGGAAUCUGCCGCAAUGGGCGAAAGCCUGACGGAGCAACGCCGCGUGAGUGAUGAAGGUCUUCGGGUCGUAAAACUCUGUUAUUGGGGAAGAACAAAUGUGUAAGUAACUAUGCACGUCUUGACGGUACCUAAUCAGAAAGCCACGGCUAACUACGUG
rnacentral:rRNA from 1 species